GGUAGUCCGUACGAGCGCACCCUUGUCCUUAGUUGCCAGCACUUAAUGGGGGGGACUCUAAGGACACUGCCGGUGACAACCCGGAGGAAGGUGGGGACGACGUCAAGUCAUCAGGGCCCUUAUGGGUAGGGCUACACACGUGCUACAAUGGGCAGUACAGAGGGUUGCCAAGCCGCGAGGUGAAGCUAAUCUCAGAAAACUGUUCGUAGUCCGGAUUGCACUCUGCAACUCGAGUGCAUGAAGUCGGAAUCGCUAGUAAUCGCGGAUCAGAAUGCCGCGGUGAAUACGUUCCCGGGCCUU
rnacentral:rRNA from 1 species